ACCUGCAGCCCAUGCACAAAAGCAGUGUUUAGUGCAAGCACAAGAAGGAUCCGUUAAGGGUUACACACGUCCUUGCAGACAAACUCUCUUUGUGUUGGCACACCUUAGCAGCUAUCAACUGAAUGCACUAGUAAGGACUAUUGUUGAUACAAUAAUUCCUAAUGUCUGAACAGAUGUGGUGUUUCUCUAUAACAUGCCAAAUGAGAAUUGUUGGUCCAUGCUGCAAGCACUCAUUCUCUGGGUUGGUCUUGAUACCAAACCGACUAGAAGAGAAUAAUGAUGGAAAAUUCUAAGUAGCUUGGGGGAAUAGAUGGAAAGAAAAUCAUCUGUUAUGGAUGCAGAAGAUUAUAGUCUAGAUAAUAGAUAAAGAUUUGGAAAGCAACUGGGGUUAUAAGCAAGAAAGGGAAUUUAGAAGUGUCAAAGAUAGCUACUAACAUGCAAAGGAUCUUUCCACGGGGGAUGCAUGGGUGAUGGAGAACCUAAUACCCACUCAUAAUAUCAGAAAAGGUACAAGAGCUUUAUUUUCAAAGACGAUAUUCCAAAAUACUUUACACGUCAUUUUUCAAACAGUUUGAAUACCAAAAGAGAUGUCUACUGCAUGUAAUCACCCCUUGCUUGCAACAGCAGACUAUGUACACAUUUAUUAUAACACCUCUGAAGGACAUUCUGGAAACAACAUAGAUAGAAACAAACCUGGCCUAACUCAGGGUCCUGAACAACAGUUCCAUUGCAGCAGAACUCUUUCUUGAGGUCCUUGAGUAUCUUGUUGUAGCUAUAUUCCUUCUUCAACCCUUGAACAGUAGUCAGGCUUUUCCUCCCAUUUCGCUGCUGUACACGCACAUGAACAUAAUCUUUUGUCCCAGCACCGGAGUCCUCAGCAUUUGCCUCAGCAAAGGGAUCUAUUCAUCCAUUGAAGAAACAUUAUUAGUAUAAACUUCUAACUUCAUCAGAAUGCUAAAUAUAUAUUAAUCCAACAAAUAAAACAUACCGAAAGCAGUUGGAAUAGCGUUGUCGAAUUCAGACAUGAAAGAAAGAUUCUGGAAGUAGAAAGCGAAACCAACAAACAAUUCUUUUGAUAUUAAUCAAAUUUCUCUGAGCUGCAACACAUGCCAGAAAACAAAAUUAAGGGUGGAAGGUUCCACAGGAGAGAGAUACGGAUCAAGAUCCAGAGAAGCCUACAAUUUAAUAGGUCAACAUAAGUGCUAAAGGAUUUAGAAAGCUUUACUAUCCAAUCAUCAGUUCUAAUUUCACAUUUAUGACAAACCAAGCAAUGAGAAAGUAAAAUCAUUGCAUGUAUAAAAUAAUCAUGAAAGAUUUUAACUAUACAUUAAAAUGCAAGAAUGAUAAAUUUUAUGAUUCUGUAACGAAUAACACAAAAAUAAAUCAGUACUGUUAAGCACUAAAAUACCUAAAGCAGCUACAGAUUAUCCAUACAUCAGAUGAGUCUAGCUACAGUCUACACCACCAUUUAACAAACAGAUGUGUGUAUCUUAAUCAGCAUCAUAGCCACGUAUUCCUGUAGACCAAUCAAUGAUUUCCGACUUCACUCAAAAAAUGGGUUAUCUUUUCAGAAACACAUCUAUUUCCUCAAUCUAUUCCUAUAAUGGUAGCUGUUACACCUUAUCAUCAACAAUCAGUCCAAAAUAAUAAAAUCUAAAAAGCAUGUGGAUCACCCCAUCCAUCAAACAUAUCUUUUCAUGUCCACUGAUGAACAAACAUCUUUAAGUACUAGUUCCAUUAUAUCACUACACAAAAUUAAGGGUCAUCUUCUUCCAUCUCCUAACAAGACACUAUGAAUUUUUGUUACACCAGUUCCUCAUGCCAUCUGAGGCAUAAGUCUCUAGCUUCAUAAUUCUCUACCCUGUAAAACCAAACUUCAAAUAUUACUCCUAGCUUGGAGAUCACGCACUCUCACCCAAAUAUCACCUAUUGUUUGGAACCAAUUCUAUAAUAGAAUUGAUUUCAACUAUUUAAGUAGAUUGAUUUAAUUUGGAAAUUGAAUUCUUUUGCAUGGAAUUGGUUUUAAAGGAAUUCAUUUACCUUGAGUUAGUGAAAAUACAUCAUUCGCCCAACUUUCCCUCACCACAAAAAAAUCCCUCCAAGCAGAUGUGUGAAAUGGAGGGGGGGGAGGAUGUUAGUGGGAUUAAUUUUUAAUGCGUCAAUCAGGUGUGAUUUUCAAAUCUACAAAAUAAAAUAUCUAAUUUUAAUUAGUCGUAGCCUUCAUUUAUGUUACUUAAAGGUUUUCAAACACUAGAACUCGAUAAAUGUUGUCGAAAUGAUUUCAUUUCUACUCAAAUCUUAAGUUUCCAAACAGCCUAUAAAAGUUUCAAACUUUUCCUCAAAUAAACCCAUUAUGAACAUAACCAAAAACUUGUAAUUGAUUGGAAAAUUCCAGGAAUUGUGUUCUAGACGUCCACAAGUGAAAAAAAAAAAGGCUAGAAACAAUUAAGAGAGCUAGAAACACACAACAUAACCUGGAUUCUAAACAUUAAAAUUUGGAUCAGCCAAUAGAAAAGAUUGAAUGUAAAUAUGCAGUUACUUAUUCAGCUCCUUUCCCUCAAAUCCUUAUCAAACAAACAGAAAAUCAUACUCAUCAUCCAGGCUAAAAAUGAAAAAAUAAGAAAAACUUCAACACCAUACAGAAAUUUCUACCAAUAUUUUAAAAAAGAAAAUCAUUUUUUUUCCGCAAAAAAUAACAAAAAACAAUCACAAACAAUAAUACAAAACACCAUCAUGAACAAAAAACCAUAAAAAAUCCCAAUUACGAAAAAAUAAAGACAAAACACAAAAUUAACCAAAACCUAAUAUUUACAAACAGAAAGACAAGAUCAAACCAGAACAAAACGUUAAAAGAAACCAGGCUAGAAAAAAACCUACGGAUUAUUACCUGACAGGAAGAUUGAGAAACAAAGCAAGAAAACCCAAAAAAGAUGAGAGAUGAAAUUUGGGUCUCUUUCUUUGGCGAUUAUGGUGAUUACGCAAAGGUGAGAGACAAUAUUUAUUGACCUCACCAGCUUCUUCGGGUCGGCUGUUUCUACGGUUGAGAUUGUUUGGAGGCCACGUGGGAUAGCGACAGACAGUGGUCCUGAUUCUUACCCCUUAUGCUAACCUUUUUCUUUCAUGUGGGAAAGGGCUUGAGGCCCAUAACAUAACAUAUCCCGAUGAGCACAUGGGUGAGCCCAUUUAUAAUUCUUGCUGUAUAAAAAAAAAAAACAAAAAAAAAGAGGGCUAUUUUAGUAAACAUGGAACAUUUUUUUUCAUUUUCUACCUUAGCUAUCAAUAUUGAUUUGGCCUAUGGGUCGAUCCGGCAAUCUAGAGCAAUCAAGUUUAUUUUUUACUUAUUUAAAAAUUAGGUUUAUUAAAUUCAAAUGACUUGAUAGGUAAAAAAAUUAUUAGUCAUAUUGGAAUGAGACCCUAUCAAGUUAAUUUUAAUAAUUUUUUAAAAUUUUUAUUCAAAAAUAUAUCAUUUUAAUUUAUUUUAAAAAAAAUUUGUCUAAAAUGGUGUUAUUUUUUAUUUGUUUUAAAAAAACUUAAGCAAAUCAUUUUAAAAUAAACAUGAGUUGACCCUUAAUAUAUAAGUUGACCCACAAUCUAUAUCUUGGUUUGUGUACGAUAACUAUUAAAAAAAAAACCUAAUUGUUCUCAGGAAGUUAAUGUGCGUUGAGCCUUCAUGACACUAUUCAUUAUAAUAGUAUCAUUAUAAAACUAUCCUCGAAUAAAGAAGCCAUUGGACUAAUCUCUUUAAGUAGGAUGAUUUUUUCACCAUGACAGUAGUGCUUAUAACAAGUUCUAUAAGGUUAUAUUAGUCAUUUUCUUGUUGCAUGAUAAAAUUAAUACUUUAAUCCUAGAAUAAAAAAAUGUAAUGUCUUUCACUUAAGGGCAUCUUAGUUUUUUUCUUUUAAAAUAGUGUAAUUACUUUGAUGCCCAUGAAAACAAAAUCAACAUCACUACUUCAAAAUAACUUUUUAGUUAUUUUAUAUUAGUUUUAUUGUAAAGUUUAAGAUUUUAAGGGGUAUUAUUGUAAUUGAUAUAUACUAAAUUUUAUUUAAAAAAAGUAUUUUAAAAAAUGCGAUGCAUCAGUGUGUGGACGACCCCAACGUUGUUUGAGGAGAGCUUGUGAGGUCAUUCAAUAACCAAACACUACUUUUCGCGAUGACAUUUAAAACAUUUUCUUUAUUAUAUCAUACCAAUCUCUUCAAAAAUUAAGACUAGCCACCAUGAUUGGUUUUUUCUUUACAUUUUGAUUUAUAUCCUUUUGAUUACAAUUAUUUUUUUGAAUUAUCUAUAAAAUUACAAAUAUUUUUUUAAUUUCACCCUAUCUUUUUAAAAACUAUAAAUAAUCUAUCAAAUUAUAAAUAUUUAUUUUUCAAUUUUCACCCCCUAUAAUUUUUUAUUCUUUCAAAUUUGAUUUUCGUUCUUUUUAUUGCUAUUUUUUGUUUGAGAUCAUUUGAAUUUUUUUUUUCAAGUUUCAUUGUCUUUGGGUUUUUUUUAUCAAAUUUUAUCCUCAUUCUUUUUUGUUGCAUUUUUUUUUUACUUUCACAAGUUUUUUUUAUCAAUAUUUUUCAACGAUUUUAUCAUUUAAAAUUGAAUUUAUUUAAAUUUAAGCUUUUUGAUUGAACCCUAGUUCAAGAUUUUACGGGCUAUGAGUUUUGAAAAUUAGACCAGGUUUAGUAGUUUUGUUUGGUGUUACUUGUUUUUUUUUUCCUUUAUGAAGUUGAUGUUUUUUUUUUAAUUUUAUUUUAAUUUUAUUUAAGUUUUGCUUUGUUAUUUUCACAUUUUACCUUGAAGUUAGCCCUAUGUUAGCUUGGGUUUUUAAUUUUUUUUUUCAUUGAUAAUUUUUUUAAAAGUUUAUUUAUUGUUAUUGAUUUUUUUUAUUUAUAUUAUUUAAAUUACCGGUUGAACUAAUUAUUCAAGUUUCAGAUUUUUUUACACUAGAAAAGAUUUUAUACCUAGUAUGGGGUAGAGCGUCGAUAACAAAUCUAGUGUAUUCUAUAACUCCAUAUCUAUAUCUAUUUCUUUUUUAUCUUCUAAUAGAAACUAGAGAGUAUAUUUAGGAUAGAUUACAAGUUGUUCAUCUUUUAUAUAUAUAUAUAUAUAUAUAUAUAAACAUUGGCUAAGAAACAAUUAUAUUCCUUGAGUUUUUAAUAAAUUCUAUCAUUCAUAUUAGGUUAAUUAUAAAUAAAUUUUUAUAUAUUUUUUAUUAUAUAAUAAAAUAAAAAUAAAAUUAAUUCCAUAUAAAAAACUCAUAAUGCGAGUUGACAAAAAUAAUCCUAGCCUAUUUCUUUUUUUUUUCUUCUAGUUUUUUAUUUUUUUCUUUAUGAUUUUUUUCUUUAAACCUAUCCAAUCUAGAGGAUCACAUCAAAACAAUAUUUUUCAAAUAUGAUUUUUUUCAAAAUAUGAAUUAUUAUACAAAGUUUAAUAAUAAUACCCAAAAUUGUCCACCAUAUGAAAGGAAUAUUUGGGAUUAAACUGUUAAAUAGUUUUUAAAAUAGUUUGUUUAUUUAAAAAUAUAUUAAAAUAUUUUUUUUCAUAUUUGUUUUUUAUUUUUAAUAUUGACAAAUCAAAACCAUAAAAAAAACACUAAAAAAAUAUCAAAUUAAUAUUUUUUUAAACUAAAAAUAUUAAAAAAAACACCUAGAAACAAAAUCACCGAAAUAAUAACCUAGUUUAAGAGGCUCAAAAUAUUAUUUUAUAUUACUUCUGCUCUCAACUUGAAGAAAAGGUAGAAAGGAUCACGUAAUUUUUCAAGUUAUAAUUUACUGCAAGGAACACAAACAUCUACAGAACGCCAGCAACCUUUAUUCUGAUAAGGGAUCCAGUGGUCAUACAUAUUAAAUCCACUCAGCGAGCAACCUUUAUUCCGGUGAAAGAUCCGGUGGUUGUACAUACUAAAUCCACAUCACACACAAAGAAGCGAAUCCACUUUUAAAAUGCAGAAAGCAGAAUAUCCUGAAAUAAAGUUGAGAAGGACACAAGCUCUACCAUGCGAGACGUGUAAACUACGUAUCCUAGCAAUUAGCUUGCUACUUCUUAGAAACCAUGAAUCUUGAUAUUUUCCUUCUUCACAAUGCCUGCCUGUUCACAGAGAAUAAACGAAGAUUUUUCAUUGAUGGUUGCUAAAUCUACAAGUACUUUGUCUAAACAAGACCAGGAGGUGUUUGUUACCUGCACGAGGAAGGUGGAAACGUUCUUCCUUUGAUCACCCUGAAGUUGAAUGACCUGCAGCCACGCAAAAAAGCAGUGCUCACACUAAAUUAUUUCGGCAGAAAGACAUUUAAUAUAUCCAAACCAGGCUUAUGCACUGGUAUUUAGUGCAAGAACAAGACGGGGCGAUUAAAGGUUACACACAUCCUCGCUGACACUCUCGUCAUGUUGGUACAGCUUACUAGUUAUGAAUUGAAUGCACUAGUAAAGACUAUUGCUAAUACAAUAAUUCCGAAUGUUUGAACAGAUGUGGUGUUUCUCUAUUCCAUGCCAAAUGAGAAACCAAGGUCCAUGCUGCAAGUGUUCAUUCUAUGGGUUGGUCUAGAUAUCAAAUUCAAACCAACUGUAAGAGAUAAUGAUGGAAAUUUCUAAGCAAGAAAGGGAAUAUAGGAGUGUGUCAGGGAUAGCUCCCAACAUGCAAUGUAUCGUACCACAGGGGAUGCGUGGGUAAUGGAGAAUCUGAUACCCACCCAUAGUAUAAAAAAAAUCUAGCUUUACAAGAUCUUUAUUUUCAAAGAAGAUAUUCCAAAAUUCUUUACGCUUCAUUUUUCUCACAGUUUGAACAACAAAAGAGCUGAGGACUGCAUGUAAUCACCCCUUGUUUGCAACAGCAGACUAUGUACAGAUUUAUGAUAAUACCUCUCAAGGACAUUCUGAAAACAACAUAGAAACAAACCUGGCCUAGCUCAGGGUCCUGGACAACAGUUCCAUUGCAGCAGAACUCUUUCUUGAGGUCCUUAAGUAUCUUGUUGUAGCUAUAUUCCUUCUUCAACCCUUGAACAGUAGUCAGGCUUUUCCUCCCAUUUCGCUGCUGUACGCGCACAUGAACAUAAUCUUUUGUCCCAGCACCAGAGUCCUCAGCAUUUGCCUCAGCGAAGGGAU
rnacentral:lncRNA from 1 species